GAUGAACGCUAGCUACAGGCUUAACACAUGCAAGUCGCGGGGCAGCAUGGGGGUUGCUUGCAAUCCCCGAUGGCGACCGGCGCACGGGUGAGUAACGCGUAUCCAACCUGCCCUUCACCACGGGAUAACCCGGCGAAAGUCGGACUAAUACCGUAUGUUGUCCAUUGACGGCAUCCGAUUUGGACGAAAGGCUUGGCGGUGAGGGAUGGGGAUGCGUCCGAUUAGCCAGACGGCGGGGUAACGGCCCACCGUGGCUACGAUCGGUGGGGGUUCUGAGAGGAAGGUCCCCCACACUGGAACUGAGACACGGUCCAGACUCCUACGGGAGGCAGCAGUGAGGAAUAUUGGUCAAUGGGCGUAAGCCUGAACCAGCCAAGUAGCGUGCAGGAUGACGGCCCUAUGGGUUGUAAACUGCUUUUAUGCGGGGAUAAAGUGGCCCACGUGUGGGCUUUUGCAGGUACCGCAUGAAUAAGGACCGGCUAAUUCCGUG
rnacentral:rRNA from 1 species